ACCUGGCGGCGAGUGGCGAACGGGUGAGUAAUAUAUCGGAACGUACCCUGGAGUGGGGGAUAACGUAGCGAAAGUUACGCUAAUACCGCAUACGAUCUAAGGAUGAAAGCAGGGGACCGCAAGGCCUUGUGCUCCUGGAGCGGCCGAUAUCUGAUUAGCUAGUUGGUGGGGUAAAGGCCCACCAAGGCAUCGAUCAGUAGCUGGUCUGAGAGGACGACCAGCCACACUGGAACUGAGACACGGUCCAGACUCCUACGGGAGGCAGCAGUGGGGAAUUUUGGACAAUGGGCGCAAGCCUGAUCCAGCAAUGCCGCGUGAGUGAAGAAGGCCUUCGGGUUGUAAAGCUCUUUUGUCAGGGAAGAAACGGUGGAGGCUAAUAUCCUUCGCUAAUGACGGUACCUGAAGAAUAAGCACCGGCUAACUACGCGCCAGCAGCCGCGGUAAUACGUAGGGUGCAAGCGUUAAUCGGAAUUACUGGGCGUAAAGCGUGCGCAGGCGGUUUUGUAAGUUUGUCGUGAAAUCCCCGGGCUCAACCUGGGAAUGGCGAUGAAGACUGCAAGGCUAGAGUUUGGCAGAGGGGGGUAGAAUUCCACGUGUAGCAGUGAAAUGCGUAGAUAUGUGGAGGAACACCGAUGGCGAAGGCAGCCCCCUGGGUCAAAACUGACGCUCAUGCACGAAAGCGUGG
rnacentral:rRNA from 1 species